rnacentral:rRNA from 1 species
GAUGAACGCUAGCGGCAGGCUUAAUACAUGCAAGUCGUGGGGCAGCGCAGGUAGCAAUACUGGGCGGCGACCGGCAAACGGGUGCGGAACACGUACACAACCUUCCGAGAAGUGGGGAAUAGCCCAGAGAAAUUUGGAUUAAUACCCCGUAACAUAACGAUGUGGCAUCACAUUGUUAUUAUAGCUUCGGCGCUUCUUGAUGGGUGUGCGGCUGAUUAGAUAGUUGGCGGGGUAACGGCCCACCAAGUCUACGAUCAGUAGCUGAUGUGAGAGCAUGAUCAGCCACACGGGCACUGAGACACGGGCCCGACUCCUACGGGAGGCAGCAGUAAGGAAUAUUGGUCAAUGGACGCAAGUCUGAACCAGCCAUGCCGCGUGAAGGAUUAAGGUCCUCUGGAUUGUAAACUUCUUUUAUCUGGGCGAAAAAAGGGCUUUCUAGCUCACUUGACGGUACCAGAGGAAUAAGCACCGGCUAACUCCGUGCCAG